CGAGCAAAUUGGGCAAUCGCCUUUCGACUGACCUAGGGUUUACCCCGAGCGUAGUCGAGAAGAGGAAAGUCCGAACUCUCUUUUCGAAACUUUGGAGAUGAAACGGCUAAAUCCUUACCGAGUGCAAGAUCAAACUAUGAGGCGCAACGUUGGCCCCAUAAGACAAGUAGAUCGCCGGAGCCACGCAGUAAUGCGCGGCCCAGACAGAUGAUUGCCUAUUCGCCCUUAAAAGCGAUGGACAAAAUUCGGCUUAUAGAUUUGCUUGCCCC
rnacentral:RNase_P_RNA from 2 species